rnacentral:rRNA from 1 species
UCGAACGGUGCUUGCACUGGUCAAUCUAGUGGCGAACGGGUGAGUAACACGUGGGUAACCUGCCCAUCAGAGGGGGAUAACAUUCGGAAACGGAUGCUAAAACCGCAUAGGUCCUUUAACCGCAUGGUUGAAGGAGGAAAAGAGGCGCAAGCUUCUGCUGAUGGAUGGACCCGCGGUGCAUUAGCUAGUUGGUGAGGUAACGGCUCACCAAGGCCGUGAUGCAUAGCCGACCUGAGAGGGUGAUCGGCCACAUUGGGACUGAGACACGGCCCAAACUCCUACGGGAGGCAGCAGUAGGGAAUCUUCCGCAAUGGACGCAAGUCUGACGGAGCAACGCCGCGUGAGUGAAGAAGGUUUUCGGAUCGUAAAACUCUGUUGUUAGAGAAGAACAAGUGCUAGAGUAACUGUUAGCGCCUUGACGGUAUCUAACCAGAAAGCCACGGCUAACUACGUGCCAGCAGCCGCGGUAAUACGUAGGUGGCAAGCGUUGUCCGGAUUUAUUGGGCGUAAAGCGAGCGCAGGCGGUUCCUUAAGUCUGAUGUGAAAGCCCCCGGCUCAACCGGGGAGGGUCAUUGGAAACUGGGGAACUUGAGUGCAGAAGAGGAGAGUGGAAUUCCAUGUGUAGCGGUGAAAUGCGUAGAUAUAUGGAGGAACACCAGUGGCGAAGGCGACUCUCUGGUCUGUAACUGACGCUGAGGCUCGAAAGCGUGGGUAGCAAACAGGAUUAGAUACCCUGGUAGUCCACGCCGUACACGAUGAGUGCUAAGUGUUGGAAGGUUUCCGCCCUUC